ACGUAGGGGGCGAGCGUUGUCCGGAAUUACUGGGCGUAAAGAGCGUGUAGGCGGGUAGACAAGUCAGAUGUGAAAGACCGCAGCUUAACUGCGGGGUUGCAUCUGAAACUGACUAUCUUGAGGGCAGGAGAGGACAGUGGAAUUCCUGGUGUAGCGGUGAAAUGCGUAGAAAUCAGGAGGAAUACCAGUGGCGAAGGCGACUGUCUGGACUGACCCUGACGCUGAGGCGCGAAAGCGUGGGGAGCAAACAG
rnacentral:rRNA from 1 species